rnacentral:rRNA from 1 species
CCUACGGGGGGCAGCAGUAGGGAAUAUUGCUCAAUGGGGGAAACCCUGAAGCAGCAACGCCGCGUGGAUGAUGAAGGUCUUAGGAUUGUAAAAUCCUGUUGUUAGAGAAGAUUAUGACGGUAUCUAACGAAUAAGCACCGGCUAACUCCGUGCCAGCAGCCGCGGUAAUACGGAGGGUGCAAGCGUUACUCGGAAUCACUGGGCGUAAAGAGUGCGUAGGCGGGGUAAUAAGUCAGAUGUGAAAUCCUGUAGCUUAACUGCAGGACUGCAUUUGAAACUGUUACUCUGGAGUGUGGGAGGGGUGAGUGGAAUGCUAGGUGUAGGGGUAAAAUCCGUAGAGAUCAAGAAGAAUACUCAUGGCGAAGGCGACCUGCUGGAACAUUACUGACGCUGAUGCACGAAAGCGUGGGGAGCAAACAGGAUUAGAUACCCCGGUAGUC